CAGUCGCCGCGGUAAUACGAAGGGUGCAAGCGUUAAUCGGAAUUACUGGGCGUAAAGCGUGCGUAGGCGGUUUGUUAAGUCUGUUGUGAAAUCCCCGGGCUCAACCUGGGAAUGGCAAUGGAUACUGGCAAGCUAGAGUGUGUCAGAGGAUGGUGGAAUUCCCGGUGUAGCGGUGAAAUGCGUAGAGAUCGGGAGGAACAUCAGUGGCGAAGGCGGCCAUCUGGGACAACACUGACGCUGAGGCACGAAAGCGUAGGGAGCAAACAGGAUUAGAUACCCGAGUAGUCCCUGUCUCUUAUAC
rnacentral:rRNA from 1 species